GGAGAGGUACCCGAAGAGGUCCAACGGGGGUUCCGGGUGUGCUCCGGACCGGGCACGAGCAGCCCGCGCAGGUUCGAAUCCUGUCCUCUCCG
rfam:Streptomyces sp. ERV7 Contig_4, whole genome shotgun sequence.